rnacentral:rRNA from 1 species
CCUACGGGUGGCAGCAGUGCGGAAUAUUGGUCAAUGGGCGCGAGCCUGAACCAGCCAAGUAGCGUGAAGGAUGACUGCCCUACGGGUUGUAAACUUCUUUUAUAAAGGAAUAAAGUGAGGCACGUGUGCCUUUUUGUAUGUACUUUAUGCAUAAGGAUCGGCUAACUCCUUGCCAGCAGCCGCGGUAAUACGGAGGAUCCGAGCGUUAUCCGGAUUUAUUGGGUUUAAAGGUAGCGCAGAUGGGUUGUUAAUUCAGUUGUGAAAGUUUUCGGCUCAACCGUAAAAUUGCAAUUGAUACUGGCAGCCUUGAGUACAGUUGAGGUAGGCGGAAUGCGUGGUGUAGCGGUGAAAUGCUUAGAUAUCACGAAGAACUCCGAUUGCGAAGGCAGCUUACUAAACUGCCACUGACAUUGAUGCUCGAAAGUGUGGGUAUCAAACAGGAUUAGAUACCCUUGUAGUC